rnacentral:rRNA from 1 species
CCUACGGGAGGCAGCAGUGAGGAAUAUUGGUCAAUGGACGCAAGUCUGAACCAGCCAUGCCGCGUGCAGGAAGACGGCUCUAUGAGUUGUAAACUGCUUUUGUACGGGGGUAAACGCAGAUACGCGUAUCUGUCUGAAAGUAUCGUACGAAUAAGGAUCGGCUAACUCCGUGCCAGCAGCCGCGGUAAUACGGAGGAUUCAAGCGUUAUCCGGAUUUAUUGGGUUUAAGGGGUGCGUAGGCGGUCUGAUAAGUUAGAGGUGAAAGCCCGCGGCUCAACCUCGGAAUUGCAUCUGAUACUGUGGGGCUAGAGUACAGUUGCGGUAGGCGGAAUGUAUGGUGUAGCGGUGAAAUGCUUAGAGAUCAUAAAGAACACCGAUUGCGAAGGCAGCUUACCAAGCUACUUCUGACGUUGAGGCACGAAAGCGUGGGGAGCAAACAGGAUUAGAUACCCUGGUAGUC